rfam:Flavobacterium akiainvivens strain IK-1 scaffold00001, whole genome shotgun sequence.
CCUGCUGUUUCGUCAGCAGUAACCUACCGACACAUGCAUUACCAGUAAUGGUUUUGUGUGAAGCUGUCGGGACAAUGAAGCCCUUUCGGAUGAAGGAGCAUGAGCCGUGAGGUUCAGCGACAAUCCCUAGUAUCAUGGGAUUGGGGCG